rnacentral:lncRNA from 1 species
CGGUGUUUCGAAAAUCGUAAUAUUAUUAUAUAUAUUUAUAAUAAUCCUAAUAUUUAAUAAACAAAAAACUGAAUGCACUCGUCAAUUUUGAGCACUUGUACUUAAAUGUCUCUAAAUUUACCAGAUAGUAUAAUACAAGUUUUUAGAAAGUUUUUAUUUGUAGAUACUACAAUUGAUACAAAUGUAUUGCCUGGCACGCAUAUUCAAGUUGAUAUUUUGCAGCAUUGUCCAAAAAAUGAUAAACAAUUAAAAAUUUAUUCUCGUAAGAGGCUUCACGAAGAUGAGAUUGUCGGUGACCAACAUGAAAAAGUUAAACUUGUACGUCACAGUCCCAGUCCUCAAAGCACACAGACAGUUCUAAAGUUCACUGUAGAUUAUCCAGAUACUCCAUCUUCUACAAAAUCUAAUAUUAAAAAAAAAUCAAGAGUUUUAAGUGUUAAGUUAACUUCAUUAAAAAAAAAAAGUUUAAAGCUUAAAAAAAUAAGUAUUUACGCCUUAAAAAGAAAGCAAAUCUAGUGUCUAAAAACUUUUUGGCAAAUUUACUUAAAGGAAAAAGUACAGCUGUAAAAACACUAAUUAACAUGCAGUUAUCUCCAACGAGGAAAAAAGUUUGGACGACCAAUGAGCGACAUUUGGCACUUUCUCUUUAUUAUAAGUCUUAUUCUUAUUUAUCUUAUUAAAAGCUUAUUGAAUUUUU